rnacentral:rRNA from 1 species
AUUUUUUUCCAAUGGGGGCAACCCUGAGGGACCAAUACCGCUUGCGGGAGGAAGGCCCUUGGGUGGUAAACCGCUUUUAACAGGGAAGAAUAAAUGACGGUACCUGUUGAAUAAGCCUCGGCUAACUCCGUGCCAGCAGCCGCGGUAAUACGGAGGAGGCAAGCGUUAUCCGGAAUUAUUGGGCGUAAAGAGUCCGCAGGUGGCCUACCAAGUCUGUUGUUAAAGCCCAGGGCUCAACCCCGGAUCAGCAAUGGAAACUGGUAGGCUAGAGUGCGGGAGGGGCAGAGGGAAUUCCCAGUGUAGCGGUGAAAUGCGUAGAGAUUGGGAAGAACACCAGGUGGCGAAAGCGCUCUACUGGACCUACAACUGACG